GGGAUUGCCCCGUAACGGCGAGUGAAGCGGCAACAGCUCAAAUUUGAAAUCUGCCCCCGGCCGAGUUGUAGUUUGCAGAGGAUGCUUCCGGCGGAGCGCCGUCCGAGUGCCCUGGAACGGGUCGCCGGAGAGGGUGAGAGCCCCGUACGGGCGGCGCCGAGCCGACGCGAAGCUCCUUCGACGAGUCGGGUAGUUUGGGAAUGCUGCCCCAACGGGAGGUAAACGUCUUCCAAAGCUAAAUACCGGCCGGAGACCGAUAGCGCACAAGUAGAGUGAUCGAAAGAUGAAAAGCACUUUGAAAAGAGAGUCAAACAGCACGUGAAAUUGCUGAGGGGGAACCGCCCGCGGCCAGACUUGCGCCCCCCGGACCAGCCGGCACCUCGGUGCCGGGGCACUCCGCGGGGGGGGCAGGCCAGCAUCGGCUCG
rnacentral:rRNA from 1 species